rnacentral:rRNA from 1 species
UACGUAGGGUGCAAGCGUUAAUCGGAAUUACUGGGCGUAAAGCGUGCGCAGGCGGUUUUGUAAGUCUGACGUGAAAUCCCCGGGCUCAACCUGGGAAUGGCAAUGGAGACUGCAAGGCUAGAGUUUGGCAGAGGGGGGUAGAAUUCCACGUGUAGCAGUGAAAUGCGUAGAUAUGUGGAGGAACACCGAUGGCGAAGGCAGCCCCCUGGGUCAAAACUGACGCUCAUGCACGAAAGCGUGGGGAGCAAACAGG